rnacentral:rRNA from 1 species
AUUGAACGCUGGCGGCAGGCCUAACACAUGCAAGUCGAGCGGAAGCACGGAGCUUGCUCCUUGAUUCAGCUGCGGACGGGUGAGUAAUUCCUAAGAAUCUGCCAGGUAGUGUGUGAUAACGUCCGGAAACGGGCGCAAUUACCGCAAACGCCCUGAGGGAGAAAGUGGGGGAUCUUGGGACCUCACGCUAUCACAUGAGCCUAGGACGGAUUAGCUAGUUGGUGGGGUAAAGGCCUACCAAGGCGACGAUCCGUAACUGGUCUGAGAGGAUGAUCAGUCACACUGGAACUGAGACACGGUCCAGACUCCUACGGGAGGCAGCAGUGGGGAAUAUUGGACAAUGGGCGAAAGCCUGAUCCAGCCAUGCCGCGUGUGUGAAGAAGGUCUUCGGAUUGUAAAGCCCUUUUAGUUGGGAGGAAGGGCAGUAGGUUAAUACCUUGCUGUUUUGACGUUACCAACAGAAUAAGCACCGGCUAACUUCGUG